CUUAGGGAAAUUCCCCGCACGUAUCGGCAGAGAGUGCCAACUGGAAACAGUAAUCCCGACGUGGUAGCCGCUUGUUACGAAGAUGGUCGUCUCCCGGCUGGAGUGUUUGGCAAGUCGGCGCCGUCAAACAGUCGCCGUGAUAGCAAAGUCAUGCCGUGAUGAACUUAACGGGGGUCACUUU
rnacentral:RNase_MRP_RNA from 1 species